ACAAAAAUCUCAUACCUCAAUAUUGCAUUAAUAAAUCCAAAUAAUUUGUACCAUCAAUAGUUAAUUUGAUAUGGGUUGAAACAUAGACUAGGUUUUAAAAUUGUUGGAGGAGAGUAUGCGAAUAACUUCUAAUUUUCAAUCUAAUCAUCUUGAAUUUGACAGCUACUAAAAAGUCUAGUAGGAUUGAGGUGCAUAGAACGCUCUCUUUAAAACGAUACGCACCCCUAUGGUAUUCUUUAACCAAUGCAGAAAGUUUGGCGUGCCGCCUCCAGGAUACAAUAGUCCAAUUCUAUAGUUGUUGCUUCCCUUUGAUCUGCACAACAAAGAGAAGUAGAAGCUUCUCAAUAUCUUACUUUAUCUAAAGAAAAUUAGAAUAAGAAAAUUAGAAUCAGGGAGAAACAAAUGAGUGUAGGGAAAAAUAGUAUUUAGAAUAGUCUUUUUGUUGAGAGAAGUGUGUUAAAAAAUUCUCAAAAGAACUUUGAUGAGCAUGGGAUAUAAAUAUAACAAUAAAGUCAUUCCACAGUCAAAUUUUACAUUUAUAACAUCUUAAAUUCCCCACACGCAAUUUUUUACAAGUAUACAGGUCGUGAGCGAGUAUAAGGUAUUAAAAGUCGAUCCCACAGAGAAAAUUUUCAAUUACCAGUGGUUUUUUUAACUCCUUUAUUAUCUAGACUACCACAAACAUAAAAGUAAUGAAAAUAACACUAGAAAACUCCUACAGGUAUGGAAUUUUUUACUACUCUUGCAAAUGACAUUACCGGUUAUGUAAAUGCUAUUAUCUUGACUAGUUAUAGCGUAAUUUCCUAAUGUAUAUGAAAUCUACUCUCGUAGUGAAUCAAUUAUAUUUAUAGCUAAGCCAUGCCAACUCUAGUGGCUAUGAAUGAACUACAAGCUUAUUUCUUCUAUGAAAUUACAUGAAACAAGUCACUAAACCCACAUAGUGUGCACCUCUACUCUCGUGAGUAUACUCCCUAGUUUUAUUACUUCCUUGAACUAAUAUUAAAUUCCAAUUCUCAUUGCAAACUUAACACCUUAAGAUUAUCAUAAUUAAUGGCCGGUUAAUCAUGAUUAGAUAAGCAAAAGUGAUAAAUAACUUGCUCAAAAUAACAUCAUCAAAUAACAAGUAAAUAUCACAAACAAGAUAUAGAAAAUUAAUCCAUAACUCUAGGUAUAAAUUUUAACUAAACAUGAAAAACAAGAUCCAAACUUGUUUUAUAACUAAAUAUGAAAUCAAAUACAAAAGAGAAUGUGGCAGGAGAGAAGUCAUCCUUGUCACAUGAGUUUCAACCUCUCUAUCUUUGCUCCUCAAUGUUCAUCCAAAUCUAAGUACAAAUAUAAGAUGGAUAAAUUAUAUUACCUAUACUAUACUACUUUAACUAAUGAACUAAGGAAAUUCUAAUAAAAACUACAUUUUUGUGGAGUUUCUCUACCUUCCAAAGUUAUGAAAAUGGUCUCCAAAGGCUGCUAUUUAUAGACGAUUCAAGAGCCAAAUGAGUUGUUUCUAGUUGGCAUUUUUGACUCUUGAAACUCCCAUGAGUUGUUUCUCCAAUUUUUCACACUCUUCUUGGUCAGAUACAGUCGAAAUUCUGAGUUGUAGAUGAGCUGGAAAGAUUGUGUGAACAAAGAACAAGUUGUAGAGUAAGUUGAAGUAGAAAACGUGUGACGACUUGAAAAUUUGCUUAUAUUUGCUUACAAUUCUCUGUUAUUUUGAAUAAGUUAAUUUAUAAUUCCUUUUAGUACUAAACUUACUCCCUUAAUAGUUGUAAUAAAUAAUAGAAUCGAGAGUUUCACUUUUACUUUUAUAGUUAGGGUAAAUUAGGGUUUUUACGCAUUUUGGUAGUGUGAUAAUUUGGUGAGGUGUGUGUGCUAAAUUUGGUGGAUAAGAGUGAGUAUUAGAUAAGAGAAAGUGUGUGAUUAGAAGUGCUAAUAAUAAGUUAGUGAAUCAUAAGUUAAAACACAAGUACGAGAGAGUUAAGGAAAAUAGGCUUGAAUCGACGUACACCAUUUGUUACGAUUGAGUACACCACUUGACCACUACUCUCUAACCCUAAUUUUAUUGUUUUUAUUUCAUCUAAUCAACCCUAAAUUAACCCCUAAUGCAGCUGAAAUUUUUUACCAAAGAAAAGGUGAGAAAAGAAAAAAAAAGAAAGAAUCUUGAUUGCCAAGUGUUGGCAAUCAAAGAGAUGUUUGACCAAGACAAUUCUUUCCUUCUUAUCUUUCAUUUUGGCUAAAUUUUUCCCAUUAUUUCUUCAUGUUGGCCGAGAGCAAGGAGAGAAAAAAAGAGAGAAGAAAACUUUCAUUCCAAUCUUGAUUUUGCCUUGUUUGAGUUGGGAUCACAAAAACUAAACCGAUUAAACUUGCACCAAGGGAGUUCAGAAACUUGGAGUGGAGAGUUUCUUGGAAGAAAUAGUUUGGUUCUUCACUUCUCAAGAAGUUUGGAAGGUAUAAGUUCAUCAACUUCCUUUCUCUUCCUUAUUCUUGCCAAAUAUGAUAUAGAUGCCUUGAAUCUUGGAAUAUUAUGGAUGAUAUUCUAGUUUUGGUGUAGAUUAGUGGAUUUCAGCUAGGGUUUUGCCAUUUUUAACCUUGAUUUAUAUUGUUCAACUAUAGUAUGUUGGUAUGGAACUUGGAUAUGGAAUUGUGAGGUGAUUAGUAGCAUGAUUGUGACGUUUUAGCUUUAAAAGAGGAAAUUCCAGCUUUGUUAAGAAAUUUUCAGCUUUAGUAUUGGAUGAUCAUUUGCUAGAAAUGAGUUACAAUUGGAUGGUUUAUGGCCUAGAUUAAGAACUAUCUUUAUAUUCUUACUUGUAGCGUUGGUUUGGGGCUGAUUUGGAAAGAAAAUGAAGUCUUAAAUGGCUGAAAAAAUUUGUAAACACAAGGGAAACGUCGCCUGAUUUUUUUUCGUGUGAUAAGUAAGUGAAACGGAAAUAGGGAUGUGACUUGGGUUUCAUUUGGGACUUAGUUAUGUAGGGAUGCUUAAGUUGACCUUGUGGGCUGUGACACCCGAAAGAAGAAGAAAAGAAAUUUCUGUGAACAGUGAGAAUCUGGCCGGAUUGACAGGGGUUUUGGAAAAAAAAUUGAUUUCAUCACUGCCAUGAAUCCAGUCAGCAAUCCGGCCGAAAAUCCGGCCAGAUCUUGGCUGGAUUGUGACGAGGCACCUUCGGCAGCCAAGUUUGACCGGCUGUUUUCCUUCAUUCUUAUCUUGUUUCUUGGCUAAACUUUGCCUUCAUUUUGCUUCUUCUUGGCCGGCUGCUUUGAGAGAGAAAACAAGGGAGGAAACUUCAUUUUCUACUUCAAUUCCUUGUUCCAAUCAUGAGUUUUAACCGCUAGUUUUGCAAUCUAUUCCAUACAAGUGCUCACUAAGGAGGUUUAAAACUAUUGGUGGAGUUGUUUUGGAAGAGGAAGCACUAAGCUACCAAUUUUCUUGAGGUUUGAUGGUAUCUUACUAAGAAUUUCCUAUCUACUUCAAUUGAUUGUUAAUUGGUGGUUUGUAGAGGUUUAAAUAUGCUAUUUUGUGGAUGAUUUCAUGGUUUAGGGUAAAGCUUAACCAAUUUUGGAUUUAUUGGUGAUUUUCCUGUUUUUAUAUGGUAAAUUAUGGUUGGCCAUAGAAUAAUAGUCUUGUAUUGGGUAAGAUGGAGCUUUUAUGUGCUAAUUAUGGUUUGUUGUGGAAAUUCCAGCUUAUAGAGCAAAAUUUCAGUAUUAGGGUUUCUAAUUUGGGCCUUAAUUGUGUUUAAUUGUGGAGCUAUCAAAUGGUUAUAUGUGGAGGGUGUUGUGACCCUAAAAAAGUGUAUUUACUAGCCUAUGAUUUGUGUGUACUAUUUUGAAUGGAUAUUAGUGGUUGUUGUAGGAUGGAAAUAAGGAAAUUUAAGAGGAAGUGCUGUCCAAUCUUUGAGGACGUUUGAUCACUUUGAGUUUGGGUUAAUUCUUGGUAGAAUGAAGAGCUUGGACUUGAUCGAGGAAACUGUUUAUGAUGGAUGAGGUUCAUGAGCUGUGAUUGGUGAGUGAUCCCAAACUAUUUCCAAAGUUACUUAUGAACUAUUUCUUGCACUGUUUAAUCGAUUGCAUAUCAGUGAAGCUAGCAUAUGUACCAUGAAAUGGUUUGGUUCCAAUGAGUUCAUGGGAAGUCUUGUGCUUAGAACCAACGUCUCCACCCUGUUUACCUGGAGCAUUGAUGGCUCCAUAUUACUAUUUGACUGUUCAUUGAUCUGUUUUAGCGUUGGAGUUCUAAAUACGAGGAUUUCACUGGCCCACAAGAGUACUAAACUUACAUUUGAUCACUGAGUCAUGCCAUCAUUUAAAUGCAUUAUUGUGAAAUGUACUUGAUUACUGAUUUUACUGGUCACUCGCUGAGUUUGUAGCUCACCCCAAAAUAUUUUUCUUUCCCCCUCCAUAGGGCUCGAGGCAAAGAAAGUGCGUGUAAUGAGUUAUUAGUAUGACUGGAUGAAUUAUUUCUUGUAUAACUUGAAUUCGAACUCGAUCCCCUUGUGGUAUGUGAAUUCGGGGAACUUUGGAAGAUGUAAUAUUUGAGACUGAUAUUGUAAUUGUAAUUAUUUGAGAAUUGAGGACUUUUGUCUUAUUCGGGAAUUGUACUACUACUUGAGAUGUGUAAUGUAUGUAAGUAUACGUUCUAAGCUUGGGAAAUGUUAUUUCGGUUAUUAUUGAGGUUGUACCCUAUGUUAUUAGAUGUGAGUGAUGAAAUUUAUUUGAGAACUGUAGUGAGUUCCGUCGAGAGUUGGGCAGGCGGUCCGCUGAACCCUUUGGUUCGCCUUAGGGGGAGGUGGGACUGUCACAUGGGCGACUUAUAGGCGAAAAUUUGGUUCAAAUGUGUAUAGUUUUCAAAGACAAAGUAGCGAUCACUUUAAACACGAUUUUCUAGUUUCUUCCGCCAAGUUGCGACCUUAAACGUUUAAAUGCUUCUUUAUCGAAAUCAAAAGAGCGAGUAUGAAUUUUCUAGGGUUUACUAAGUAAAAUUAGUACUACUUAAAUGAGUUCUAUUUACUUGAUUUUCUUUAAGCGAAACUCCUAUAUUUUGAAACCCUAAUUAAUUGCAAAUUGGUAAAUGGUAUUUUAUCGCAGAUUUGGACUCCAACCAGGGAGUUGAACCUGAGCUUGGUUUUGGGAAGCAAUAACUCAUUAGUGAGUGUUUCCAAAUGCAUGUUUGAACUUAUUACUUGAAUGAAUCACUUUAUUUGAUAGGGCAAGGGUGUACUUUAUCGCACUUGCCCUAAUGUGACUUAUUACUGUGUAUUGGUUACAAUGGUUUGAUAUAUAUACAUGUGAAUAACUUGAAUACUACCGGGGAUCCUAACCCUAUUGGUUAGUCAGUCGAAUCGAGUUGGUAAGUGUGAGGAUUCACAAAAUUCAUUUAUUUUAAAAACCCUAUUUCGAGCUUAUUUAAUCAUGUAAUUGUCCAUUUAUUCCGAAUAUCAUUUUCUAGCCCUAUUGAACUUGAUUACAUGGAAGUAUAGCUUCAAAAUAUUUUUAAAGUAACUCGUUUCAAAACAAAAAAUUAAUUAGUCUCCGAAAGCGCGUUUAGUGAAAUUAGUGAAAAAGUAUUUGGAAAUUUUAACCGUUGGAGAGUACAAUAAGUUUCGAACAUUGGAGACUUGUACUAUGGACCUAAAUUAGGUAUUUUAAAGUUUAAGUACUCAGGUGAUAGUUAGUAGUACUAUCGUUAUAGAAUUUCUUGAAAGUUUAACUUUACCAUGCUUAAAUUGGAAUUCGCAUUUUUGCACGCGCGAUUAAUUGGGAAACUAUAGACCUUCAUUUUAUAUAUUUAAGAGUGGAUAAUAAUAGUAUGAAUAUAAGUAUAUUGGAGGUUUAGUGCACUAGUGAAAUGAACGCGAGAGGAAUUGAGCACAAAACGCGCGCGUACGCACACUAUUGAAGAGUUGACUUUUGCACCAAUUCUAGCCACACAAAUGAAGCUUCCUUAGGAAGCCAAAUUGGAUCAAAACACUCUCUCUCUUCCUCACAAAGUGGCCGGCCAUCAGCUGCAAAAAUAACCCAAGGAGUUCUUCAUUUUUCAUCUCUAAAUCUUGCACAAAUCUUCUCCAAUUCCUUCCAAAUUUCACACACACUUAGCUUAAUACUUGGAGAUCAUCUUAAGCUACAAAAAGAGGGAGCUUUCCACGGUUUUCUUGAGCUAAGAGAGGGCCGAAAUUCUGCCCUUGUUCACCAACACAAGUAAGUGACGAUCAACCCUCAAAUUCUUGGCCUAUGGAAGUUGAUUUACACUUAUAAGCUUAGAUAUUCAUGUGGGUGGCUUGUUUGUGACAGCCCCACCUCCCCCUAAGGCGUACCAAAGGGUUCGGCGGACCGCCUGCCCAACUCUCGCCAGGAUUCACUCACUCGUAUCUUACGCAUACAUCCAUAGACAAGAAACAACAUCGCAAUUCAAACUUAUAAUAUACAUCGAAACUCAAAUCCAGAUACAAAACUUCUACAUACCAAAAUACUUCAAAGUGUUUACAAUUCGAGUACAAUCAACCCUGGUCGGGUACUAGCACAAGUACAAAUUCAAAAUUCAAAACAACUAGACUACGCUAGUCGGUACAAGUCUCACGCCUCGCUCGUACCCCUGUAAGGAAAACAAAUGGAGUGGAAUGAGCUAAAAGCCCAGUGAGAUUCCAAAUAGCAAGUUGACCAUUAUUUAAAGGUACACGUAUCAACGUAGCAAAAGAUAGCGAGCAUAACGAGUUCAUAAAAGUGAACACUAACACUUCAAGUAGCAAAUUUCCAAAUGAGCGAGUGUUAAAAGAAACAAUAAUCCAAUAGGCAAUAAUCAUUUCCAAGUAUAAGGAUACGGAUGGCUCUCAGGAGCCAAGUUCCCAUUGCUUCACCAGAGCUUGAUCAAAUAUUAGUUGACACUCCGUCAACUUUCAAGUAAAGUAACCAAUCCAGUAGAUUACCACUUAACUCCAAUCUCCGUCCAUCAACCAAACCCCUUACUGGGCCCGAACUCCAAGAUAAACACUGGUGGUAAUACUCGAGUAUACCGAUUAGUCGAGGAGAUAACACUCCACUCGACAACACUAGAUACCAUGGUUCAUUAUCUAAUCGACCAGGCCCUUGCCGGCUCGACUCGAUUAACUAGCCAAUGGGGUUUGGGUCCCCAAAAAGUCGAUGAGAUAACACUCCAAUCGACUGAAUCAAGAUAAAAGUACGGAGACGGGAAUGAGAGGUACCUCCCACUCAGAUCGAGUGUGGUACAUACUGCCGCUUAGUACUUACAAGUCACGUACAAGUAUCUCAAAUCAAUUGCAACAAUAAACAAGUACAUAUCACAUUAGGGCAAGUGCGAUAAAGUACACCCUUGCUCGAUCAUACCAAUCACAUAUCAUUCGACCAUAUUGGUCAAAUAUUAAAACUAGUGUCCAGUUCAAUCAGGUAUUUGGAAGCACUCACCAAAGGUCUAGUGCCUCUCAAAAGUCACGUUCAGGUCCAACUCCUUGGUUGGAGUCCAAAUCUGCGAUAAAAUAUCAUUUAUGAAUGUAAAACUCUCUAAAGUUUGAAACAUAGGAGUUUUGCUUCAAGAAAAUCAAGUAAAUGCAAAUCGUUUAAGUAGUAUUCACGAUACUUAUCAAAUGCCGAACAAUUCAUGCUCGCUCUUAAACCUUUGUAACUUUGAAGCAAUUAUACUUUGAAAUACCAUUUGAGUCGAAGAAAUGGAGAAAACGUAUUUCUAUUAGUCGUAAUUUUCAUUUUUCCAAGGGUACAAGUUUCGGCCGAAUUCUAACUCAUAUACCUCGAUAAAAGAAGAUGCAAAUAUCCUAGAUGGUUCACGUGGUAUUCGCUCUCAAGCCUUACUCGAGUCGCAAGUAUAUACCUAGUCCUCGAGUGCAAAUUUGGGCAGCACGCCCUUUGUAUUUACCUAUUUUCCAGCCAUUUAUGGCUUCAUUCUUUUUCUCAAUCAGCCCCAAAACACAUAUAAAUAAUCUCAUCACAAUAGUCGUUCAAUAGGCUAAAAGUCAUCCAAAUACAAGGCAAUUCUAGCAAGUAAGCUUCACUUGGAAAUUCGAAAAUAGUGGCUAAAAGCUAAGUACAAGUCUUGACCGUUUUAAUUAAGAUAACUUGUUAAAAGAGUAAAACUUUGAGGAAAUAAGAGAUACAUUAGCGAGAGAAGUUCAAUAGGGGUACAUUUGAAGUCAAGGAAGUGGAAAAAUCAAGGUAAGAGGUUGGAAGUAGGCCGUCCGAGGUUUUAAAGUCAAGAAGCCUGUUUCUCUGCUUUAGGAAUCUACCGAGAUGAAUAGUAACAGUAAACUUUAAAAAUUCGCAACUCGAGUUCCACAAGUCAAAAAAUUAUGUAAGUUACACCGUUGUAAAAUAGAUUUUUAGUACUACCACAUCCCAGAAGACACUUUUUAGAGAUUAAAAUCACAAAUAGGCCAAAUAUUCGAUCCAAGUCAAAAAUUCAUUUUCCUGAAGAAACAGGACAUUCAAGCAGGGCAGCCUACUUUGAGGAGUCACGGACAGCAGUACACAUGGCGGAAAAAUAUGAAAGUUUUACAGAACAAAGGCCCAUGAGUCUAGUUUCAAAUGCCACUGACGGCACCUCAAUCGGAUUUUUCUACACCAAGAUAUAAGCAUUUUACUGAAACUGGUCAGUGAAAUCCGAAAAUCUGGAAACUCAAUUUCACUUGUGAAAAACUCCUUUUUCUCUUUUAAAACCACAAGACUUUUAUUCCAACCACCCAUACAUUAAGUAUGACAUUCAUACCAGCAAUUUUAACAUAAUUUAAGCAUCAAAUUUCAACAAAAACCAAAGAUAUACGUAUAUUCCAAGUUGAAAGUUUUGUAAGAUGUGUAGACUAAGAUUAAAUCAUUUUCUAUUCAAUAGUCAUGGAUUCUAAGUUGUUUGUAGUUUGGGUUUUGUUCCACUACACCAAUGAAUAGCAACCAGACUAAGCCAACCAUCAUGCAGCUUAACUGCACCAAUUAAUAGCAAUCUAAAGUUUAAAUACCCACUUCCUCAAAACAUUGACAUGUUUUAUAAAAGGAGAAAAUUUGAACUUCACUACCAUUAUUCUUAUACGGAACCUGGUCAUAUAUCUAAAAUGGAAAUUAAUCAUAUACUGUGUCCUUGAAGAGCACUACCUAAGGAACCAAGAGACAUAGAUAUUGGCACCCAAAUCCGUAGUAUAUUGGUUUUCACAGCAGCUCUCUCUUUGAAGCAUCUGACACGACUUCUAUUUCAGAAACUCACCAUUGUUAUCUAAAAAUAAAGCCAAGAGUGCAGCAUAGCAACUAGAACAACUUAUAUACGACUUUCACAGCUAGUAAUCCUAUAUAACCUGAAGUAGAUAUAUUUCAUACUUCUGCUAACAUGAGUCUUCAAGGAAAUUCCAGUUACAAGCGUUAAAAUUCUAGCUCCUUAGCCUCGGUCAUCUCAGAAAUUUUCCAGCACCCAAUCAGCCUUUAAUCUAAAUUUUCUUCAGCAAGGUUCAUUCUUAGCUAAAGUCUAACAUUCAUGUCCAUAUACGUGAACUAGAGAGUGUAUAUCAGUCAUGCACAUAAGAAACAAUCAGAAAAUCUCAGCUUAGCUCAACAAUAUCACAUAACAGCUUCUAUUGAGCAUUUCCAGCACUUGGUCAGUAUUUUAAUUUUAUUUCUUCAGCCAAACCUCUUAUAAACUUAAGGUAAAUGUAUAACAUAUGUUUCCUAUCAUUGGUUUUCCAGAAAUUUCCAGCAAUAAAUCCAGUCUUUACAACCAAUUUCUACUUCAAUCCAACCUCAAGGAAAUAUACAUCAAAAGCCCUCUAAAGUAUGUGAAAGAAAUUAAAGUUCCAAGUCAUGUUACCUUUAAAACAAGCUAGAAGUUAACUCCCCUGUUUUGGUCCUUCUACUCGAUCAAACAAGCUGGAAAUGGAAACAAGACUCAAGCUUCCUUUCAGUUUUCUCUCGCUGGUUCCUCUUGGCUGAAGUGGAAACAAAACAAGGGAAAUUUCUUUGUUUUCCCCAAAUUUUCUCUCGGCUGGAAGGUGGGUGCAAGCCACAACCUUUUCCUCUCAACUCUCUCUACUCUCUCUCGGCUAAGGUGGGACAAAACAAGUGAGCAGUCUUGUUUGUCUUUGUUUUUCUUUCUCUCGGUGGUUGAGCUAAAGAAAAGAAACAAGAGGAAGUAAAUUUGGCUUAGUCAACUUGCAUGCUACUUGGUCAAAAAUGGAGGCAAUGGAGAAAUAUGUCUCUCUCGGUUGGGCAAUUGGAGUAAGACAAGGAAAAACAAUCCGGCAGCUUUCCCUUAAAUUUGUUUUUUCCUACUCUCUUGCUUAGUCAAAAUUUUCGGCCAAGAGAAGAAGAUUAUGGCUGAUAUUUCCACUCCAUGGUCGGCCAAGAGGUAAGAAAAGG
rnacentral:lncRNA from 1 species